GUGCCAGCAGCCGCGGUAAUACGGAGGGGGUUAGCGUUGUUCGGAAUUACUGGGCGUAAAGCGCGCGUAGGCGGAUUGGAAAGUUGGGGGUGAAAUCCCGGGGCUCAACCCCGGAACGGCCUCCAAAACUAUCAGUCUAGAGGUCGAGAGAGGUGAGUGGAAUUCCGAGUGUAGAGGUGAAAUUCGUAGAUAUUCGGAGGAACACCAGUGGCGAAGGCGGCUCACUGGCUCGAUACUGACGCUGAGGUGCGAAAGCGUGGGGGAGCAAACAGGAUUAGAUACCCUGGUAGUCC
rnacentral:rRNA from 1 species